rnacentral:misc_RNA from 1 species
ACCGAAAGGAGGGGGAUGCCUAAGGUAGGACUGAUGACUGGGGUGAAGUCGUAACAAGGUAGCCGUACCGGAAGGUGUGGCUGGAUCACCUCCUUUUAGGGAGACCUAAUCCAUUUAAAAAUCGAAAGCAGUGAAAAUUGUGGGUAGAAACUAAAUUGGUCUAACCUACGUCGGUCGCAGACUUGAAGUAAAGCUUUCAAACUAUGAUUUGGUUCGAUAAGGGCUAUUAGCUCAGGUGGUUAGA